GAUGAAGAACGUAGCGAAAUGCGAUACGUAAUGUGAAUUGCAGAAUUCAGUGAAUCAUCGAAUCUUUGAACGCACAUUGCGCCCAUUAGCAUUCUAGUGGGCAUGCCUGUUCGAGCGUCAUUUCAACCCUUAAGCCCUGUUGCUUAGCGUUGGGAGCCUACAGUACUGUAGCUCCCCAAAGUUAGUGGCGGAGUCGGUUUCACACUCUAGACGUAGUAAUUUUUUCUCGUCUGUAGUUGAGCCGGUCCCCUGCCGUAAAACACCCAAUUUAUCAAGGUUGACCUCGGAUCAGGUAGGAAUACCCGCUGAACUUAAGCAUAUCAAUAAGCGGAGGA
rnacentral:misc_RNA from 1 species